CUAAAUUGGCCUCCUUGAGGAUCCAAACCCAGGUAUUGGGUUUGUACAUCCACUCCCUCAACCAGUUGAGCUAGGCUUACUCCUCGUUGACAAUUUAUAAGUGAUGGGUCUACUUAUUAGAGUGAUUAAGUAUGUCCGCCUAGAGUACACCAUCGAUUUUUCAUGGUUCUUUUAAUCACUCUAGUUGUCCUUCAAUAGGAAAAUCCAGUAUGCUCUGAGCACAUCUGCUCUUUAUACGUGGAUCGCUUGGUUGCUCUUAGAUUGAUGAAAGUACUAGAAGUGAAAGCGCACUUCACCGUGCCGUCUGGUUUAUGCUAAUCUUUUUUAGUAUAUGUAGGACAUUUUCUUUCAUUGAAGUGGGAUAAAUAACAAAUAAAAUACGUACUAUUUACAAAGAAAACAAAACAUGAAGUCAUAAUCAGUCAAGCAAUGUCAACACCAACAUCAUGUCAUAUAUGUACUUGACAUGAGAGCAACACAUAUAGUAUCAUGAGAGCAUGAUGGAGUUGUUAAUGCAUGGAGAUAUACAGUUACGACCGAUGAAGGCAAGUGCUCGUUAUUUGAAGUGUGAGAGUUCAUAUUUACUAGCCAAGCCAGAUUCUCGCAUUCAAAGGUACACCAAGAUAAUUUUUGCCACAAUUGAAAUAUCAGGCCUACAUAAUUAGGAUCUAUAAACCUUCCAAAAAAUAUUCAUAGUUCAUGGCUUCAGGAUUCCAUUCUUGUCAGAUUUUGCGAUCGCUUGGUGGUCGAUAU
rnacentral:lncRNA from 1 species